rnacentral:rRNA from 1 species
AAGGAUUUCUUCGGAAUGAAUUUGAUUAAGUUUAGUGGCGGACGGGUGAGUAACGCGUGAGUAACCUGCCUCUAAGAGGGGAAUAACAUUCUGAAAAGAAUGCUAAUACCGCAUAACAUAUAUUUAUCGCAUGGUAGAUAUAUCAAAGAUUUAUCGCUUAGAGAUGGACUCGCGUCCGAUUAGUUAGUUGGUGAGGUAACGGCUCACCAAGACCGCGAUCGGUAGCCGGACUGAGAGGUUGAACGGCCACAUUGGGACUGAGACACGGCCCAGACUCCUACGGGAGGCAGCAGUGGGGGAUAUUGCGCAAUGGGGGAAACCCUGACGCAGCAACGCCGCGUGAAGGAUGAAGGUCUUCGGAUUGUAAACUUCUUUUAUUAAGGACGAAGAAAGUGACGGUACUUAAUGAAUAAGCUCCGGCUAACUACGUGCCAGCAGCCGCGGUAAUACGUAGGGAGCAAGCGUUGCCCGGAUUUACUGGGUGUAAAGGGUGCGUAGGCGGCUUUGCAAGUCAGAUGUGAAAUCUAUGGGCUCAACCCAUAGCCUGCAUUUGAA